AGAGGGAUAAAGAGAACGAUCGUUCCCGUGUGCGCGCGCGGGCGUUCGUCCGCGUCUAAUUUCGCGUGUGUUAGCGCGCGUGUGCCUGUGGUGCCGCGUGUCCGUGAGCGUAUGCACGCGCGUGCGCGCGCGCGCACGCGUGGAGUGUGUGGGUGCGUGUGUGUACGUGCACGAGCGUGCGGCGCGGCUGUGCGGCAGUGAGAGUUCCGAGGAAGGAACAAAGGGAGUGGAAAAGAAAGAUCCGUCGAUCGGCUUAGAAAGCAGCUAAGGGUGGCGCAGCGCGGGAGAACGGCGCCGAGAGAAGUGAUAGCGGACGCUUACGUGAACGGAUUCUGGGGUGUUAAGGAGAACAGCCCCGCGUCAACACGGGCGACGCGGCGCGCGGCGGCCGGACACGGACACGAACGCGUCGACGGGCCUGUCCCCCGAGGAAGGGACCGUCGCGCGCAACGCGAUCAAUUUUCGUUGCGACGCGCGGGCGGCUUAGACCGUAGAACGGACGCGAGACGAAAUGACGAGGCAACCGAGGUACCGAUAACCGGCCGGAUAAUGUUGUCGCAGAGCAAGUUUUACGCUCUCUUCAUCCACUACACGUUCGUGUAGCGCGAAACGGGGCGGGUCCUUGCCGCUGCGGUGAAGAAGAAUAGAGGAGAAGGAGGAGGAGAAGGAGAAGGAGAAGGAAGAAGCAGGAAGCAGAAGAAGAAGAACACGAGGGGAAGGAAAAGGUGCUGUCAGUGGGGGAGAAUAGAAACGAAAGCGAAGCGAGAGAAACGGAGAAGGGAAAAUCAUUCGAAACUAGAGAUAGCACCUCGUACCAGCCGUGGUGGUCGCCAUCGUCGCUCGAGGGCUGAAGGAAAAGAAGCAAGAAAAAGGAAAAAGAAAGACGGAAUUCGUGGCGUAACCGAAGGAACGGAGAGGGGCCGUACACGCGUGUAUACACGGCGGCACGCGCAUUAUAUGCACGUAGGUGGAGGGACAUCGUGCGAGGCGGAAUUUUAGCGCUACACGUCUCGUCGGUCGUUCUUCUUCUGCAUCGUCGGUGUGAAAGUGUAAUCUUAGUGUGUCGUCUCACGGUGCUCGGUUGUGCUACCCUUACAUCUCGAGCAAGGCCCGCGGAGGUAUCCCAGAACCCGCCCCCGCCCCCGCGCCCUCCCUCUCUCUCCGCUCUCUCGACGUCGCAGUGCCUCUCUUCUCUCCAUAUCGCUACGUUGCGCUUCUCUUUUACGUUCGCAGCGGUGACUAUCUACGCUGGAGAGUGUUCGACCUCCUCAACCAUAAAAAUCGACCGACUCGAAGACUAGACUAUGUUAUUUCGGAUAACGGAUUGAUCGCACCCGUCGCUUCAUUUACACGUCGGACAUGAAAAAUCUUGGUUCGCGUUGGACGGUCCCCGACAUAGCACGCACUGCCGCAGCGCGUUCGUCAUUUCUCGUCGCCAUUUCGUUGGAACGAGAUUCAGGUAGCAGCAGCAGCAGCAGCAGCAGCAAGAGCAGCAUCCGUAACAGGAACAAAACUAGAAGUAGCGGUAGCACCAGCGACAGCAACGGCAUUAGCAGUAGUAGCAUCAGCAACAGCAGCAGCAGUAGCA